GUGCUCACUUCAGCAGUACAUAUACGAAAAUUUGAAUGAUACAGAGAAGAUUACCACGACCCCUGUGCAAGGCUGACACGCAAAUUCGUGAAGUGUUCCAUAUUAAA
ensembl:snRNA U6 U6 spliceosomal RNA